rnacentral:rRNA from 1 species
AGAGUUUGAUCAUGGCUCAGGAUGAACGCUAGCGAUAGGCCUAACACAUGCAAGUCGAGGGGCAGCACAUGAAGUAGCAAUACGGAUGGUGGCGACCGGCGCACGGGUGAGUAACGCGUAUGCAACCUGCCUACAACAGGGGAAUAACCCGUUGAAAGACGGACUAAUACCCCAUAACACAGGGAUCCCGCAUGGGAAUAUUUGUUAAAGAUUUAUCGGUUGUAGAUGGGCAUGCGUUCCAUUAGCUGGUUGGUGAGGUAACGGCUCACCAAGGCAACGAUGGAUAGGGGAACUGAGAGGUUUAUCCCCCACACUGGUACUGAGACACGGACCAGACUCCUACGGGAGGCAGCAGUGAGGAAUAUUGGUCAAUGGACGCAGGUCUGAACCAGCCACGUCGCGUGAAGGAAGACGGCCCUACGGGUUGUAAACUUCUUUUGUAAGGGAAUAAAGUGCAGUACGUGUACUGUUUUGCAUGUACCUUACGAAUAAGGAUCGGCUAACUCCGUGCCAGCAGCCGCGGUAAUACGGAGGAUCCGAGCGUUAUCCGGAUUUAUUGGGUUUAAAGGGUGCGCAGGCGGGAGAUUAAGUCGGCGGUGAAAUUUUGCAGCUCAACUGUAAAAGUGCCUUCGAAACUGGUUUUCUUGAGUGUGGAUGAAGUAGGCGGAAUUUGUGGUGUAGCGGUGAAAUGCAUAGAUAUCACGAGGAACUCCGAUUGCGCAGGCAGCUUACUAAACCAUAACUGACGCUCAGGCACGAAGGCGUGGGGAUCAAACAGGAUUAGAUACCCUGGUAGUC